rnacentral:rRNA from 1 species
AUGGAAGCUCCAUCUCCCGCUCCAGAUUGGUCCGAGCUGCCAGCCGACGUACUGUACAGCGUACUCACGCUGCUCGAGUGCCCGGACCUCCUCCGGUCGGCCGCCGUCUGCGCGGCCUGGCACACGGCGUACUCCACGCUACGCCGCACCAGCAUCUACCCUAGCCGCCAAACGCCGUGCUUACUCUACUGCACCGAGGCCGGCGGCGGGCGCAAAGCUCUCGGCAUGUACAGCCUCUCCGAGCGAAGGUCCUACGCCACGCCACUCCCCAAAAAACCUCCAAUAACGAACUGGAUCGGCUCGUCGCACGGAUGGCUGGUCACCAUGGACGACAAGUCCGAGCUGACGCUGCUCAACCCGAUCACGGGCGACGCGAUCGCGCUCCCUCCGGUGACGACCUUGGAGCACGUCAAACCCGUCCUAGACAACGACAGAGUCCUUGAAAAGUACCAGGUGUUUUACUACGACGGAGAGAUUCCGAGGGUGGUGGAGGAGGACACCGCUAUAUGGUCAUUGGAGAAGUAUGGUCACAUGGUCUAUCUAAAGGCGACUUUAUCGUGUGAUCCAUCGGUAGGUGGAUGCAUCGUCAUGCUCAUCCACCAGCCGUACGGCCAGCUCUCGUUUGCCAAGGUAGGAGAUGAUCAUUGGAAUUGGCUCAGCAUAUCUAGCUACUACAGAGAUUGUGUAUACCACAACGGGUGGUUCUAUGCAGUUACCGAAGAAGGUGCGACUGAUGCAUACAAUUUACAUGGACCGUCUGUCAUCCACAAAAGGUUGUUACCCCAAAUAAUCCAGACAGUUUCGAAGUGUCACGUUGUUCGGGCGCGAUCCGGAGAUGUCCUCCAAAUCAUUAGGAGGCAGCUUCUAAAUCCUGAUCAUGAACAACCGGGCAGUCGGGAGUGGGUCACUGAAAUCAAAGUGUACAGGGUUGAUUUUGAUGACCAGAAGUGUGUCAACAUAAAAGAGAUAGGGGACUAUGCGUUGUUCAUUGGGAGCAGCACGACGUCUUGCUUAAGCGUCAAGGACUAUCCAGACUUGAUGCCAAACCAUGUCUAUUUUACGGACGACGAUGACGCAACACACAUUUUCCGGAAAGAUGACCCUCCCGAGGUUGGAAUUUACGACAUUAAAAAUAAUACCACGGUGAAUGUGGUUCAUCCUGAACUUUGGAUGAAUUGGUUGCCUCCAAUAUGGUUGACGCCGAGUCUUGCAAAAACAGAUACGGUUCUACUUGUCCCUUGA